AUUGAACGCUGGCGGCAUGCCUUACACAUGCAAGUCGAACGGUAACAGGUUAAGCUGCCGAGUGGCGAACGGGUGAGUAAUACAUCGGAACGUGCCCAGUAGUGGGGGAUAGCCCGGCGAAAGCCGGAUUAAUACCGCAUACGACCUAAGGGUGAAAGGGGGGGAUGGAAAACCCUCUCCCUAUUGAAGGGGCGGAUGUCAGAUUAGCUAGUUGGUGGGGUAAAAGCUCACCAAGGCGACGAUCUGUAGCUGGUCUGAGAGGACGACCAGCCACACUGGGACUGAGACACGGCCCAGACUCCUACGGGAGGCAGCAGUGGGGAAUUUUGGACAAUGGGCGCAAGCCUGAUCCAGCCAUGCCGCGUGCGGGAAGAAGGCCUUCGGGUUGUAAACCGCUUUUGUCAGGGAAGAAAUCCUUUGGGUUAAUACCUCGGGGGGAUGACGGUACCUGAAGAAUAAGCACCGGCUAACUACGUG
rnacentral:rRNA from 1 species